GGUGAUGUAGCUCAGCUGGUAGAGCAUCGGACUGAAAAUCCGUGAGUCGGUGGUUCGAGUCCACUCAUCACCACGA
rnacentral:tRNA from 2 species